ACAGUUGUUAUCUGAGUGAUUGUUAUUUGUGUUAAGCACCUGCAGUUUUUCCUGCUGCCAAGAGUCUUUGAGUUGUAUAUCUCCCCUUAGUAUUCCCUUUCCCUCUGAUAUUCUGGUAUGUAGCAUUAAAGCUACUUCUUUGACCAGAGGACAGGAAAGAUAUAAACUUAGACGAACAUUAUGCCUUUCUCUACUGUAGAUAUUGCCGUUAUUUUCUAUACUAAGCAAACACUAAUCAAAAGGCCCGGGGUAGGAAAGAGGGCAACCCAGAGGUAUGCCUACUCCCUUAAUAACAUAAUACUUAUGUGGAUUAUAGUUAAUCUGCCUGUAAGAAUAGCAAGCAGAAUUAGCUUGUUCUGAAAACAGAAUCUCUUCAUAAGAGUGCUUAUCAAACUGGAAGUGACUAAAUGCCAAUGACUAUCUCCGUUUCCUGUGUUUAUUCCAAGUUGUCAGCUUAAUAUAUGUUCUUACUACUUCUACUACGUACAGUUAGUGCUGAAAAUCAACAGUUCCUGGAGUGAAUUUGAUUCCUUUUUGAUGCAGUCCAGUACUAACACAUUUUAAGUUCUAUUUGCAGACUCUUCAUGGGUCAUACAUGAUCCAGAAAGGAGCUGGCUUGGUUUUUUCAGCUCCUAGACUGAAUUUGCAGGAUUGGCAGCUAGAAAAACCAUCUUGAGCAAUUGGUAUUUUGAAAGUAGAGAUAAGUAAGUGUGUAGUACUUUUUAGUCACUUUUCAGUCCACAUCUACAUCUUCAGAGAUUUUGUUCCAGGUCAUUAAAUAUAAAUUCACAACUUACUGUGAUUUUCAUUUUUUAAAAUGGCCAGAAGGAGUGGACGAGAGUUUUCAGAUCACUAUACCAAAAAUGCAAGUAAUUUCUUUUUCUUUUCUAAUUUAAAAAAUAGAAGAGCAUGAGUGAAAUAGUAUAGCUUCAAAUUUAUUCAACCAAAAACUUGCUGCUGACAGUUUUCUGCACAAUGCCUGCUCAACUUUCUUUGUUAAAUAGCUGUGAAAAAUGAACCUGUUUCUUUUAAAUGCAUAUAUUUCAGACCCUAAGAUUUUUAUUUAAUUCUAUAAACUGUGAAUGAAGUAUGUAAACAGCAUACAGUGUAACAUUUGCUGUAUUAAAUAGAAGUUGUUUAAUUUCAAAUUUUUGAGAUGUAAGCUCACAGUUCUAGUUAAACUCUGAUAUUGUACUCUUGAGUGUAAUUUACACCUCUUGCAUGAUAUAUUUUUUCUACAAAGGAAGAUAACUGAGGCCUUGAAAGAGUAAUGUAAAGAAUAUUUUAAUAAUUCUCACUAAACAUUUAUCUAAGAUCUGAACUAUUUCU